rnacentral:rRNA from 1 species
UACGGGGGGGGCAAGCGUUGUUCGGAAUUACUGGGCGUAAAGGGCGCGUAGGCGGCGUGGUAAGUCACUUGUGAAAUCUCUGAGCUUAACUCAGAACGGCCAAGUGAUACUGCUGUGCUAGAGUGCAGAAGGGGCAAUCGGAAUUCUUGGUGUAGCGGUGAAAUGCGUAGAUAUCAAGAGGAACACCUGAGGUGAAGACGGGUUGCUGGGCUGACACUGACGCUGAGGCGCGAAAGCGUGGGGAGCAAACGGG